GAUGAAGAACGCAGCGAAAUGCGAUAAGUAAUGCGAAUUGCAGAAUUUCCGUGAAUCAUCGAAUCUUUGAACGCACAUUGCGCCCCCUGGCAUUCCGGGGGGCAUGCCUGUCCGAGCGUCAUUUCUGCCCUCCAGCCCGGCUGGGUGUUGGGCGCUGUCCCCCCGGGGACACGCCCCAAAGGCAGUGGCGGCGCCGCGUCGGGUCCUCGAGCGUAUGGGGCUUUGUCACCCGCUCGGGACGGACUCGUCGGCGCUGGUCUUCCUCCAGGCGACCCUUCGGGGCUCGUCUUCCUUCGGUUGACCUCGGAUCAGGUAGGGUUACCCGCUGAACUUAAGCAUAUCAAUAAGCGGAGGA
rnacentral:misc_RNA from 1 species